GACGAACGCUGGCGGCGUGCUUAACACAUGCAAGUCGAACGGGAUCCGGGCUUUCGGGUUUGGUGAGAGUGGCGAACGGGUGAGUAACACGUGAGUAACCUGCCCCCUUCUUUGGGAUAACGUCGGGAAAUCGGCGCUAAUACUGGAUAUUCUUGCUGCAUCGCAUGGUGUGGUUUGGAAAGGGUUUCUGGUGGGGGAUGGGCUCGCGGCCUAUCAGCUUGUUGGUGGGGUGAUGGCCUACCAAGGCUUUGACGGGUAGCCGGCCUGAGAGGGUGUCCGGCCACACUGGGACUGAGACACGGCCCAGACUCCUACGGGAGGCAGCAGUGGGGAAUAUUACACAAUGGGCGCAAGCCUGAUGCAGCGACGCCGCGUGAGGGAUGACGGCCUUCGGGUUGUAAACCCCUUUCAGUAUGGAACAAGGAUCCUUCUUUUGGGGGGUUUGAGGGUACGUGCAGAAGAAGCGCCGGCUAACUACGUG
rnacentral:rRNA from 1 species